rnacentral:rRNA from 1 species
CCUACGGGUGGCUGCAGUGGGGAAUAUUGGGCAAUGGGCGCAAGCCUGACCCAGCAACGCCGCGUGAAGGAAGAAGGCUUUCGGGUUGUAAACUUCUUUUCUCAGGGACGAAGCAAGUGACGGUACCUGACGAAUAAGCCACGGCUAACUACGUGCCAGCAGCCGCGGGAAUACGUAGGCGGCAAGCGUUCUCCGGAUUUACUGGGUGUACAGGGCGUGUAGGCGGGAAAGCAAGUCAGAUGUGAAAACCAUGGGCUCAACCUGUGGCCUGCAUUUGAAACUGUUUUUCUUGAGUACUGGAGAGGCAGACGGAAUGCCUGGUGUAGCGGUGAAAUGCGUAGAUAUUGGGAGGAACACCAGUGGCGAAGGCAGUCUGCUGGACAGCAACUGACGCUGAGGCGCGAAAGCGUGGGGAGCGAACAGGAUUAGAUACCCGAGUAGUC